UGAACAAAUAAGACCAAAAAAUCAACACAACUUGAAACAAAUGGCAGACAAAAACAUAGAAAUAGGACAACUUUUCUGAUUAGGUUUAUUUCUGGAUCCUCUUCAGGUGCCAUAGUGUCCACUACAGUGUCCACUACAGUGUUCUCCAGUUCUGUCCAUUAGAAAAACAUUCCAUACAGUAUCUCUAUGAGCGAACCAUUGUUAAGGGUCAGUAAACCAUAAACAUAUGGCUAAAGUGGACAAGCUAUUCUAGAUAACGCAAGGGGGGCUUCUGCAUUGAAUUCUGCCAGGGUUAGAGGUGAAUUCUGUCAGGGUUAGAGGUGAAAUCUGUCAGGGUUAGAGGUGAAUUCUGUCAGGGUUAGAGGUGAAAUCUGUCCGGGUUAGAGGUGAAUUCUGCCAGGGUUAGAGGCAGUAAACUAGUCAUUAUAAAGCCGAACUGUUGGCUAAGAUGCAUGCAUAGAUAAGCUAGGUACAAUACCAGAGAUCAUGCUUCUGACAUGGAUGGAAUCCUCCUAUCAGCCAGGGUUACCGUGCCAUUAAGCAUUCACAUGACAGGCUACAGCCCACCAACAGUACUCAGUCUGUUCACUGGACAUGCAUCAUGAGAAGGUGUGUGUGUUGGGGUGAACCAACUAGAAAAGAGUUCUCUCUUUAUCUCCAAUGAGAGAAACUAAGGCUCUGGUCCAACAUCCAGACUAGCACACUGCUUUGGAGCUAUUAUGGUUGGUGUAUGCAUUCUAAGUAGCACGCUAGUGUCGAUGUUUGGAACGUAGCCUACGAAUGUGUGAUAGUUGAUUGGUUUGGAAUACACCUCAUCACAGACAUGAGCUGAUUGGCCCACCUAAACCAGCUGACAUGAAACACAGGAGUGAGAUACUGCGCAACAAAAACUGAUGAGUAUUGAUACAGAGAGAGGGACACAACCCUCUAUAAUCUGAUCAGGGAUCAGUGUUGUCUUACCCUUUGGUCUGGUCUGAGGAGCAUGCAUGUCUGAGGGGUGGGCUUCAAGGGAGAGGUUUUUAAAGGGAUCAACAGGUAGAAAACAUAC
rnacentral:lncRNA from 1 species